UACGUAGGGUGCGAGCGUUAAUCGGAAUUACUGGGCGUAAAGCGUGCGCAGGCGGUUUUGUAAGCCAGAUGUGAAAUCCCCGGGCUUAACCUGGGAAUGGCAUUUGGGACUGCAAGGCUGGAGUUUGGCAGAGGAGACUGGAAUUCCCGGUGUAGCAGUGAAAUGCGUAGAUAUCGGGAGGAAUACCGAUGGCGAAGGCAGGUCUCUGGGCUAUAACUGACGCUCAUGCACGAAAGCGUGAGGAGCAAACAGG
rnacentral:rRNA from 1 species